rnacentral:snRNA from 1 species
AUUGUUUUUUGUUUGUUUCUAUGUCAAAUAAAGUUUUCAAAAACAAAAAAAAUCUGUUCUUAUCAGUUUAAUAUCUGAUACGUCCCCUAUCUGGGGACCAUAUAUUAAAUGGAUUUUUGGAACAGGAAGAUGGAAGAAAAGCUUGCUCUGUCCACUCCACGCAUCGACCUGGUAUUGCAGUACCUCCAGGACCGGUGCACUUCUC